UACGUAGGGUGCGAGCGUUAAUCGGAAUUACUGGGCGUAAAGCGUGCGCAGGCGGUUUUGUAAGACAGAUGUGAAAUCCCAGGGCUCAACCUUGGAACUGCAUUUGUGACUGCAUCGCUGGAGUGCGGCAGAGGGGGAUGGAAUUCCGCGUGUAGCAGUGAAAUGCGUAGAUAUGCGGAGGAACACCGAUGGCGAAGGCAAUCCCCUGGGCCUGCACUGACGCUCAUGCACGAAAGCGUGGGGAGCAAACAGG
rnacentral:rRNA from 1 species